AGAGUUUGAUUCUGGCUCAGAAUGAACGCUGGCGGCGCGCCUAACACAUGCAAGUCGAACGACUCAGGGUCUUCGGACUCUGAGUAACGUGGCGGACGGGUGAGUAACGCGUGGGUAAUGUGCCCUUUGGUGGGGGAUAACUCGUGGAAACGCGGGGGAAUACCGCAUAAGGCCGCAAGGGAUACCUUGCGGGGAAAGGCUUCGGUCGCCAAAGGAGCAGCCCGCGUCCGAUUAGCUAGUUGGUGAGGUAAGGGCUCACCAAGGCCACGAUCGGUAGCCGGUCUGAGAGGAUGAACGGCCACACUGGGACUGAGACACGGCCCAGACUCCUACGGGAGGCAGCAGUGGGGAAUUUUGGGCAAUGGGGGAAACCCUGACCCAGCGACGCCGCGUGGAGGAGGAAGGCUUUCGAGUCGUAAACUCCUGUUCUUGGGGACGAUAAUGACGUACCAGAGAGA
rnacentral:rRNA from 1 species